rnacentral:rRNA from 1 species
CACGUAGGAGGCGAGCGUUGCCCGGAAUCAUUGGGCGUAAAGAGCGCGCAGGCGGCUUGGCAAGUCGGGUGUGAAAUCCCGGGGCUCAACCCCGUGACUGCAUUCGAUACUGUCAGGCUAGAGGUAGGUAGGGGAGAUCGGAAUUCCUGGUGUAGCGGUGAAAUGCGCAGAUAUCAGGAAGAACACCCGUGGCUAAGGCGGCUCUCUAGUACGGUACUGACGCUGAGACGCGAAAGCGUGGGGAGCGAACAGG